AUUGAACGCUGGCGGCAUGCCUUACACAUGCAAGUCGAACGGCAGCAUGAUCUAGCUUGCUAGAUUGAUGGCGAGUGGCGAACGGGUGAGUAAUACAUCGGAACGUGCCCUGUAGUGGGGGAUAACUAGUCGAAAGAUUAGCUAAUACCGCAUACGACCUGAGGGUGAAAGUGGGGGACCGCAAGGCCUCAUGCUAUAGGAGCGGCCGAUGUCUGAUUAGCUAGUUGGUGGGGUAAAGGCCCACCAAGGCGACGAUCAGUAGCUGGUCUGAGAGGACGAUCAGCCACGCUGGGACUGAGACACGGCCCAGACUCCUACGGGAGGCAGCAGUGGGGAAUUUUGGACAAUGGGCGAAAGCCUGAUCCAGCAAUGCCGCGUGUGUGAAGAAGGCCUUCGGGUUGUAAAGCACUUUUGUCCGGAAAGAAAUGGCUCUGGUUAAUACCUGGGGUCGAUGACGGUACCGGAAGAAUAAGGACCGGCUAACUACGUGCCAGCCGCCGCCGUAA
rnacentral:rRNA from 1 species